GAUGAACGCUAGCUACAGGCUACACAUGCAAGUCGAGGGGAAACGGCAUUAAGUGCUUGCACUUUUUGGACGUCGACCGGCGCACGGGUGAGUAACGCGUAUCCAACCUUCCCAUGACUAAGGGAUAACCUGCCGAAAGGCAGACUAAUACCUUAUGGUCUUCACUGACGGCAUCAGAUGUGAAGUAAAGAUUUAUCGGCAAUGGAUGGGGAUGCGUCUGAUUAGUUAGUUGGCGGGGUAACGGCCCACCAAGGCAACGAUCAGUAGGGGUUCUGAGAGGAAGGUCCCCCACAUUGGAACUGAGACACGGUCCAAACUCCUACGGGAGGCAGCAGUGAGGAAUAUUGGUCAAUGGGCGAGAGCCUGAACCAGCCAAGUAGCGUGCAGGAUGACGGCCCUAUGGGUUGUAAACUGCUUUUGUAUGGGGAUAAAGUCAAUCACGUGUGAUUGUUUGCAGGUACCAUACGAAUAAGGACCGGCUAAUUCCGUGCCAGCAGCCGCGGUAAUACGGAAGGUCCGGGCGUUAUCCGGAUUUAUUGGGUUUAAAGGGAGCGUAGGCUGGAGAUUAAGUGUGUUGUGAAAUGUAGACGCUCAACGUCUGACUUGCAGCGCAUACUGGUUUCCUUGAGUACGCACAACGUUGGCGGAAUUCGUCGUGUAGCGGUGAAAUGCUUAGAUAUGACGAAGAACUCCGAUCGCGAAGGCAGCUGACGGGAGCGCAACUGACGCUGAAGCUCGAAGGUGCGGGUAUCGAACAGGAUUAGAUACCCUGGUAGUCCGCACAGUAAACGAUGGAUGCCCGCUGUUGGUACCUGGUAUCAGCGGCUAAGCGAAAGCAU
rnacentral:rRNA from 1 species